UACAGAGGUGGCAAGCGUUGUUCGGAAUUACUGGGCGUAAAGGGCGCGUAGGCGGCCUUCUAAGUCGGACGUGAAAGCCCCAGGCUUAACCUGGGAACUGCGUCCGAUACUGGAAGGCUUGGAUUCGGGAGAGGGAUGUGGAAUUCCAGGUGUAGCGGUGAAAUGCGUAGAUAUCUGGAGGAACACCGGUGGCGAAGGCGGCAUCCUGGACCGACAUCGACGCUGAGGCGCGAAAGCUAGGGGGGCAAACGGG
rnacentral:rRNA from 1 species